rnacentral:tRNA from 1 species
GAGGCAAUAGUUUAACGGAAAAACGCACACUGCUAAUGUGAUAUGCGGGUUCGAAUCCUGCUAGCCUCCC